rnacentral:rRNA from 1 species
GAACGAGAAAGGGGAGCAAUCCCUGAGUACAGUGGCGACCGGGUGAGUAACACGUGACUACCUGCCCUUGAGUGGGGGAUAACCUCGGGAAACCGAGGCUAAUACCGCAUAACAUCGCAAGAUCAAAGGAGCAAUCCGCUUUUGGAGGGGGUCGCGGCUGAUUAGCUAGUUGGUAGGGUAAUGGCCUACCAAGGCAAAGAUCGGUAUCCGGCCUGAGAGGGCGCACGGACACACUGGAACUGAAACACGGUCCAGACUCCUACGGGAGGCAGCAGUGGGGAAUUUUGCGCAAUGGGGGAAACCCUGACGCAGCAACGCCGCGUGGAGGAUGAAGGCCCUUGGGUCGUAAACUCCUUUCGACCAAGACGAUAAUGACGGUACUGGUGGAAGAAGCACCGGCUAACUCUGUG